rnacentral:rRNA from 1 species
GUACGGGGGGGGGCAAGCGUUGUUCGGAAUUACUGGGCGUAAAGGGCUCGUAGGUGGCCAACUAAGUCAGACGUGAAAUCCCCAGGCUCAACUUGGGAACUGCGUCUGAUACUGGAUGGCUUGAAUUCGGGAGAGGGAUGCGGAAUUCCAGGUGUAGCGGUGAAAUGCGUAGAUAUCUGGAGGAACACCGGUGGCGAAGGCGGCAUCCUGGACCGAGAUUGACGCUGAGGCGCGAAAGCGUGGGUAGCAAACAGG